CCCUUAGAUGUUCUGGGCCGCACGCGCGCUACACUGACACGUUCAUCGAGCUUUUACCUUGGCAGACAUGUCUGGGGAAUCUUUUCAAUGCGUGUCGUGAUGGGGAUAGUUGAUUGCAAUUUUUCAUCUCCAACGAGGAAUUCCUAGUAAUCGCGUGUCAUCAACGCGCAAUGAUUACGUCCCUGCCCUUUGUACACACCGCCCGUCGCUACUACCGAUUGAAUGUUUUAGUGAGGAUCAAGGACUGUAGCGGGAUGCCGGGUUUCCGGCGCUUGCACGCAGGAAUUGCCCCAAACUUGAGCAUUUAGAGGAAGUAAAAGUCGUAACA
rnacentral:rRNA from 1 species